AAGCCAGGCAAUCUGUUUAUCUAAGUGUGUUUCUGCAGAAAUUUAGAAAAAGCUGGCAACAGUGAUGUCAUUUUUAGGAGUCUUAAGGACAACUAAGGUCAUUACAGUCCCUCAAAAUGUCUAUAAUA
ensembl:snoRNA